rnacentral:lncRNA from 1 species
AUGAUACAGCUCAACAUAUUUCAAACUUCUCUAACAAGCUUCAUAACAGAAUUUGAGAUGAUAAAUGAUAUUCAAUCUCAAUCAUUCAAUGGUUAUAACAGAUUUUUGAAAUCACGGGACAGGAUUGAGUUACCUGUAGAAAACUUCUCAUAG